rnacentral:rRNA from 1 species
AUAACGGUCCUAAGGUAGCGAAAUUCCUUGUCAGGUAAGUUCUGACCCGCACGAAAGGCGUAACGAUUUGGGCGCUGUCUCAGCUGUAGACUCGGUGAAGUCUUAGUACCUGUGAAGAUGCAGGUUACCCGCGACUAGACGGAAAGACCCCAUGGAGCUUCACUGCAGGUUGAUAUUGGGAUUUGAUGCAGCAUGUACAGGAUAGGUAGGAGGCAAAGAGAUGGAUACGCCAGUAUUCAAGGAGCCGCUGUUGGGAUACUACCCCUGUUGUAUUGGAUUUCUAACCGGACGACGUAGAGCCGUUGACGGGACAGUGUCAGUCGGGCAGUUUGACUGGGGCGGUCGCCUCCCAAAGAGUAACGGAGGCGCCCAAAGAUACCCUCAGCUUGGAUGGAAACCAAGCGCAGAGUGCAAAGGCAAAAGGGUGUUUGACUGCGAGACCCACAAGUCGAGCAGGGACGAAAGUCGGGCUUAGUGAUCCGGCGGUGCUGAAUGGAAAGGCCGUCGCUCAACGGAUAAAAGCUACCCUGGGGAUAACAGGCUGAUCUCCCCCAAGAGUUCACAUCGACGGGGAGGUUUGGCACCUCGAUGUCGGCUCAUCGCAUCCUGGAGCUGAAGUCGGUUCCAAGGGUUGGGCUGUUCGCCCAUUAAAGCGGUACGCGAGCUGGGUUCAGAACGUCGUGAGACAGUUCGGUCCCUAUCUGUCGUGGGCGCAGGAAAUUUGAGAAGAGCUGUCCUCAGUACGAGAGGACCGGGAUGGACGCAUCAAUGGUGGACCAGUUGUCACGCCAGUGGCAUAGCUGGGUAGCUAAAUGCGGAAGGGAUAAACGCUGAAGGCAUCUAAGUGUGAAACCCACUUCAAGAUGAGAUUUCCCAUUGCGCAAGCAAGUAAGACCCCUUAAAGACGAUAAGGUAGAUAGGUCAGGAGUGUAAGCAUGGUGACAUGUUAAGCGGACUGAUACUAAUAGGUCGAGGGCUUGACCGA